rnacentral:rRNA from 1 species
GACGAACGCUGGCGGCGUGCUUUCUACUUGCAAGUCGAACGAUGAAGUUCCUUCGGGAAUGGAUUAGUGGCGAACGGGUGAGGAACACGUGAGAAACCUGCCUUUCAUUCUGGAAUAACACCGGGAAACCGGUGCUAAUACCGGAUACUCCGUCUUGGCGGCAUCGCCGAGCCGGGAAAAAAUUUUGAUGAAAGAUGGUCUCGCGGCCUAUCAGCUAGUUGGUGAGGCAAUGGCUCACCAAGGCGACGACGGGUAGCCGGCCUGAGAGGGCGACCGGCCACACUGGGACUGAGACACGGCCCAAACUCCUACGGGAGGCAGCAGUAGGGAAUAUUGGGCAAUGGGUGCAAGCCUGACCCAGCGACGCCGCGUGAGGGAUGAAGGUCUUCGGAUUGUAAACCUCUUUCAGUAGGGAAGAAGCGAAAGUGACGGUACCUAAAGAAGAAGCACCGGCUAACUAUGUG